rnacentral:rRNA from 1 species
UACGUAGGUGGCGAGCGUUGUCCGGAUUUAUUGGGCGUAAAGAGCGUGUAGGCGGCCAGGUAGGUCUGCUGUGAAAACUCGAGGCUUAACCUCGAGCUGUCGGCGGAAACCAUCUGGCUAGAGUCCGGAAGAGGAGAAUGGAAUUCCCGGUGUAGCGGUGAAAUGCGCAGAUAUCGGGAAGAACACCCGUGGCGAAGGCGGUUCUCUGGGACGGUACUGACGCUGAGACGCGAAAGCGUGGGGAGCGAACAGG